rnacentral:rRNA from 1 species
AAGGGAGGGUAACACAUCGAUCCUUGUCUUCUGCUAAGUUCGAACCUCAGAAGAUAGGGUACUGUACUAUUAGUAAAAGAGGUGUCUACUGUUACUGUUGUAUGUACUUGAAGGUGUGUUACGUUUUACGGUUAACUGUGUAUAAAUAACACAUCAACUACCGUCAGUGUAUCAUACAAGGACACAACUACACUUAGCAUCGGAACGAUGACCACCAUGUUCGGUCGAGUAUACGAGGUCGCGGCGUGAGUUCUCCUAGUGGAGCGGCUGCCUUUCCUAUACUAUACAGGUCUACGGGUGUCCUCUUUCCACCCGUGGGUAGUAGGGCAGGGACCUGUACUAGACGACGUUUUUGAUGUUGUUUCCUCUUCUGUCACUUCCGAAUAUCCCAUUAUCUUGCUAUUUUACGUGGCCUCAAGGGGUGUUUUCGAAAGAGUGUCUACGUGAUCCCUGAACUAUAGGAUCACACAAGACAAUUCUCAUGAUUCCGUCCGUUCCCUAGCCGUAGCUGAUCAACUAGUAUAGGUCGACAUAUAUGGUUAAUUAUCACACUGGCCCUUUAACUAACACUUAAGUACCCAUAUACUGCUGUGUGUUUUCUUCUCCUUCUAUAAAGACAGGGUAAGACAUCGAUCCUUGUUUUCUGGUGAGUCCCGAACUUCGGACAGGGCACGGUACUAUUAAGCAAAAGAGGUCUCUACUGUUACUGUCAUAUGUUCUUGAAGGCGUACAUAAAUAAUAAGUACAUUGUUCCCUGACCUGACUUCGUUCAAGCGUUAGUGUGAGUUUGGUGACCGUCCGCUAUCGUAGACUUUACAAUAUGAGUCCGGAUUGAUAGUCAUUUCGUCCUGAGACUGACGAAUGGAUAUCUACUGUUCGUUAUUUACGACAACGAAAAAAUGAAGAAAACGUGAACGGACGUAGAAGAAGAAGUAGGAGAAGGAGAGGUAGGAAUAAUGUCAUGAUGUCCUUCUACUCAUUUAAUGAACGAUAUCAGGAGGACGACGAUGGAGAAUGCUUGGUACCUUGGAUGAACCGUUGCCGUACCCUACUAUUUCUAAAGAAGUUUAUGACGGGUGGUAGGGUCACGUCGGUCGUACCGGGUCUCUAGUCCAUAGGAAAGACGGAGCUUAGUUCGUUAUUUAGUAGUAGUAGUACACCUACACCACCGUCUUGUUAGUCCUUCUAUCGUACGAGACCGGUCCUGUGGUAGGAUCAGGUGGGUCAAAAACCGGGUAUGUCACAGUCGCGGUAUCUAAUGUUCGCAAGAAGGUACUUCUAGUGGGGCGAACAUCUGUGGACAAACCACGAGGUCGUCUUCGAGUAGUAGAGGUCUUCGAGUAGUAGAGGUGUCCAACUACAAGAGUUGGUACUCUCCGGUUCAGAACUGGCUAAAAAGGAAACCUCAAGAUGUUUGGAUCAUGUGACAAGUUCUCUCAAACGUGGACCACGACGGCUAUCCUAACGACCGGGUGAGAGGACGUAAUCGUUGUAUUGGGUGAAGAAGAUAAACCACCGACCAAUACUUCUGUACAGAGAAGAAGGCAACCUGACGUUCCAGCAGGGUCAGAGUCUACCACAGCCACCGGCAGACUUUGGGUACAUAACCUCAACGCCGGUUUAUAUGCUGGGUGCCAGGAAGUUCCUUCGACGUUUUUGUAAAUAGUUAAGACAACUCUGGUGUGACACAACCUGACUACUACUAACGUCUCUCACACUCGAGUCACCCGAUGCGACGCGCAAGUCGAGUGUUGUCUUAGUUCGUAAGACAUACGGACUGCCAAGGGCAUAGUUUCAGUAGCGUCCAUGAUGAGACUGACGUCAGUAAAAUUAAUGGUUUAAAUAUAUUACGUUUAGGGAUAACAACCGAUGAGACUUGGAACUGCAGGAGAAUAGGAAUAGGUGUAUUUUGAUUCAUUCCCGAAAAUUAAGGGUUACGUUAUACGACUACAGUAUAUAACAAACAAAUAAGUCGAUGUAGUAGCCACCGGCGUAAACAACAAGAAAACAAUUGCCACCGGUGACACGAAAUAGAAAGUGAGUUCUGUUCUAUAUUAUGCCUCUAUGUAAACUCCCAGCUUUACAAAGAGUUCUGUAUACCUCGUAGCUUUGGGUGCUCCAUGUGAAAGAGACUUCAAUUCUUCUACCGUUCUGCCAAAUUCCUUUUUCAUCCCGUCCCUCCUAAACCUUCACAUAUGUUUCCGCUCGAUGGUUUACCUCACGGGCACCGUCAGUUCUACGAUCUCUUGAGAUGUCCUCUCCCUGUUCGUAAGUAGUUACUUCAACGUUGGUAGCCUGAUUAGGUGGUACGGUUAUAACAGGCGGAGGAACCUAAAACAAGGCUUCCUUACUCUGCCCGAGACUAAAUACUUAAGUACGGAUUACUCAGUGAUCUCUUUAUAUAAAAGAGAGCACUGAGACGUUUAAAGGUCGUAGAAGACCAUGGGCUGUUCGACGAUCUAUAACGAAAUCCGUAACGGUCUCCUUACCUCAUGAACGUAGUUCCCACGUUGGUCGCGUAGGAGGUGAAACUGUAGUUCGGAGUGUUAUAGGACGACCUGAUGUUGAAGUUAGGUUUCUAGAGUCUGAAACCGGAACGUUUCGACACGCGUUCCCUGGUUUCGUAGCAGUGGAAUUGUCGUCGUUCUCCGUGUUACCCCAUGUAACGUGGUCUCGAUAUGAGAGCCUUGAAACCCCCUCAUAGCAUGUUCAGUGUGCACAUGUCAAAGCCGUACGACCACGAUCUUUACCAUUCGCCCUCCUCCUUAAGUCUGGGUUCUUAGCCCUCGGUCCUGCUACAAAUGGAGGGUCUCACCUAGAUGCUCUUUCAAUAGUUACCCCUCCUCAACCACGAAUGAAACCUUUGCUGAGCUCUCCUCUUUCUUUUCCACUCCGUCGACCGUUACCAACGUGACACCACAUAGGUCACCUUGGGUUCUUUGGCCGGCAGCUACUGUUUCCAGCAAUUGUACGAUUGUCCCUCCAACGUCUCAGACGUCUACGGGGGUUUCGGAAUGCAGAGUAUACUUUUACUUGGAUACGGUAUUUAGUUUUGUCCCUGAUGGUAUGAGACAGUUGUAAGUUCCAACAUGAAACAGACGCGCACACAACGUUGUUAUUGUUGGUGACACAAAACUACGAAAGUCAGAUACAGACUUCUACAUACUUAUUAGCGACCAGUGAUGGUAACAUUAGAAUGAGAUGACUAAUAAACGUUCUAUGUGCUAAGCGUUAACGAUGAGGUUAUAAAUAGAGGUUUUCAACGCUUAUCGCAACACACGUUAAGUCAUAAGGCAACUAAUGGAAUAAGCCAGAGGGUAUAAAGAGACGUAGACACUCAAUCACUUAGAGGAGAACCGUCAAUCAUCUACACGGACUACUGCCUCGAAAACGAAACGUUGAGGGUAUAAACCGUAUAAGGCAACGAUUGUCUCCGCUACACGGACUGCCUCGAAAAGG